CUUAGAUACCCCUGGUAGUCCACGCUGUAAACGGUGGGUACUAGGUGUGGGGUCCAUUCCACGGAUUCCGUGCCGUAGCUAACGCAUUAAGUACCCCGCCUGGGGAGUACGGCCGCAAGGCUAAAACUCAAAGGAAUUGACGGGGUCCCGCACAAGCGGCGGAGCAUGCGGAUUAAUUCGAUGCAACGCGAAGAACCUUACCUGGGUUUGACAUGGAUUGGUAACGGUCAGAGAUGGCCGCCCCCCUUUGUGGGCCGGUUCACAGGUGGUGCAUGGCUGUCGUCAGCUCGUGUCGUGAGAUGUUGGGUUAAGUCCCGCAACGAGUGCAACCCUCGUCCACUGUUGCCAGCAUUUGGUUGGGGACUCAGUGGAGACCGCCGGGGUCAACUCGGAGGAAGGUGGGGAUGACGUCAAGUCAUCAUGCCCCUUAUGUCCAGGGCUUCACGCAUGCUACAAUGGCCGGUACAAUGAGUGGCGACAUCGUGAGGUGGAGCGAAUCUCAAAAAGCCGGUCUCAGUUCGGAUUGGGGUCUGCAACUCGACCCCAUGAAGUCGGAGUCGCUAGUAAUCGCAGAUCAGCAACGCUGCGGUGAAUACGUUCCCGGGGCUUGUACACACCGCCCGUCAAGUCAUGAAAGUCGGUAACACCCGAAGCCGGUGGCCCAACACGUGAGUGGGGGAGUCGUCGAAGGUGGGACUGGUAAUUAGGACUAAGUCGUAACAAGGUAACCGUA
rnacentral:rRNA from 1 species